CACAUUCACCCCUCCACUGUCUCUUUCUCUCUCUCUAAUCUAUCAUUCUCUUUCUUCUUCGUUAGGAGCCAUCAGCGGCGGCCUCUGCGGGCCGUAAAUUGGCUGGUGGAACUGCUAGGCGCAGUAGCCAUCUCCGAGAACCACACCCAAAUGUAGGCGACUUUCUGGUUUUUCCUCUUGAGGCGGUGGAUUUGGAGCCGUUAGUUCCGCAGCGGUUCUGGCAGAAGCCGUCGACGUCGGACGCCGUUAGCACGACGUUGAUUGCGUUUGUCUGCUCACCCUUGGAGGCCAGAUGGAGGUCGGUGCCUGCUCGCACACCUCGCAGAUUCAGAUGCGGCCAUGGCGCAAGCUCCCAAAUCCAUUACAAUUUCUGAAUCGGUAUCCAUUACAAUUUGAUUCGAGGCUGACCCGCGUCGCGACGGAGCCGUAGAAGGUGAAGGGCGUUUUCCACCCUUACGAAUAGCGAUGAUGGUUGAAUACUUUAUUCGUUUUGUUGGUGUUUUUUAUUCAUAAUUAUAAUAUCUUUAUUCAUUUUUGUAUUAUGAAAUUAUUCUACUUGCUGCUUAUAAUUCAGAUCUUGACAGAAGCAGAAAUCUUGAAGCAGCUGCAAUGGCCGAUGGAGUCGACGAAGGAUAGUUCUACCUGCGCUACUUGAGUUGAGGAGAGUUAUGUAGCAUUUUAGUGUGCUGCAUUAGGUUGUAAAAUUACUGAAAGAUUAUUCAAAUUGUAACCCAAUUUGAUUUUACUAUGUUUGUUCAUUGUUAUGUUUGUCGUAUUCAUUUUUUUCACAUAAUUGUUCUUAUUAAUGUUCUGAAUAUCAUAUUCACAUUCUUGAGUAAUUUUGAAUAUGUUUGUGAAAGAUUUUGUUGAGGAAACGCCAAUAGCAACUUAG
rnacentral:lncRNA from 1 species